UGGCUCAGUUGUUAAGAGUGCUUGCCUUGCAUGCACGAGGCCCUGGGUUCGAUUCCCAG
rnacentral:tRNA from 1 species